rnacentral:rRNA from 1 species
GACGAACGCUGGCGGCGUGCCUAAUACAUGCAAGUAGAACGCUGAAGGAGGAGCUUGCUUCUCUGGAUGAGUUGCGAACGGGUGAGUAACGCGUAGGUAACCUGCCUGGUAGCGGGGGAUAACUAUUGGAAACGAUAGCUAAUACCGCAUAAUAGUAGAUGUUGCAUGACAUUUGCUUAAAAGGUGCAAUUGCAUCACUACCAGAUGGACCUGCGUUGUAUUAGCUAGUUGGUGGGGUAACGGCUCACCAAGGCGACGAUACAUAGCCGACCUGAGAGGGUGAUCGGCCACACUGGGACUGAGACACGGCCCAGACUCCUACGGGAGGCAGCAGUAGGGAAUCUUCGGCAAUGGACGGAAGUCUGACCGAGCAACGCCGCGUGAGUGAAGAAGGUUUUCGGAUCGUAAAGCUCUGUUGUAAGAGAAGAACGAGUGUGAGAGUGGAAAGUUCACACUGUUACGGUAUCUUACCAGAAAGGGACGGCUAACUACGUG